UACGUACUGUGCGAACGUUAUUCGGAAUCACUGGGCUUAAAGGGUGCGUAGGCGGCCAAUUAAGUAGGGUGUGAAAGGCUUCGGCUCAACCGGAGCAUUGCGCUCUAGACUGCUUGGCUCGAGUGAGAUAGGGGUGUGCGGAACUCACAGUGGAGCGGUGAAAUGCGUUGAUAUUGUGAGGAACGCCGGAGGCGAAAGCGGCGCACUGGAUCUCUUCUGACGCUGAGGCGCGAAAGCUAGGGGAGCAAACGGG
rnacentral:rRNA from 1 species